ACAGCUAUUUUGAAGACCUACUUUCUAAAAUUAUAUUCAGGAUUAAGCAGCUGUAACAUUGCCAUUCGUCACUGAGGCUCCUGGUUUCAGCAUGUCUCCUUGGUUCCUGGCCAGUCUUGGGUGUUCAGAUGACUUUCUCCAUGCCACGGGAAACAUGGCUCCUAGCAACCUGGGUCUCUCAUCUCAUCCUAGCAGUUCUUCUACCAGCAAAGAAAGAGGAUUUCUUCCUCUUUGGCUCCAGUAUGAAAACAAUCCCAAGAAUGACUUGCAUUGGAUCAAUUUAGGUCACAUACUCCUCUCCAAACCAAUCGCCAAGCCAGGAAGAUGGGAUAAUAUGAAUGGUUCAAUCAAGAGCACAUGUCCACCCUUGUCAUUAGAAUGUUUUUUUUUUUUUUUUUCCUAUGGA